rnacentral:rRNA from 1 species
CUGCGAAUGGCUCAUUAAAUCAGUUAUCGUUUAUUUGAUAGUGCCUUUCCUACUUGGAUAACCGUGGUAAUUCUAGAGCUAAUACAUGCUAAAAAUCCCGACUUCGGAAGGGAUGCAUUUAUUGGAUACAGAACCAACGCCCUCCGGGGCUUCCUGGUGAAUCACAAUAACUUCGCGGAUCGCACGGCCUUGCGCCGGCGAUGGUUCAUUCAAAUUUCUGCCCUAUCAACUUUCGACGGCUGGGUCUUGGCCAGCCGUGGUGACAACGGGUAACGGAGGGUUAGGGCUUGACCCCGGAGAAGGAGCCUGAGAAACGGCUACUACAUCCAAGGAAGGCAGCAGGCGCGCAAAUUACCCAAUCCCGACUCGGGGAGGUAGUGACAAUAAAUACUGAUCCAGGGCUCUUUUGGGUCUUGGAAUUGGAAUGAGUACAAUUUAAAUCCCUUAACGAGGAACAAUUGGAGGGCAAGUCUGGUGGACACCCAGUCCCGGGGGGGCUCUCGCCCCCCCUCUGCUGGCGCCAGCAAGAGUAGGGGGCCCGGCGCCGGCGCCGGGCCUUCGGACCUGCUAGUCGAGCACUCACUCAUGGGCGGGAGAGUGCCGGCGAGACAACCUGGAUCGGGGAAGGCUAAGGGGCGCCACGCCCUAUGCUAAUCCCGAGCGGAGCGGCCUGGGAGCGAUCCCGGGCCCGCCCGUGUAGAGCGCGGAAAGGUGUCGGCUGCUCUGUGGGACUCCCCUCCCACAGGCGGCUUGAGGGACGUGCCGUACCCCGCGAAAGCGUGUCACUGUCUGGAGCGCCCGCCACGCAAAGGACAGCGAGCCACUGGAAACCCUUCCAGCGGUGGAAGCAUCUCAAAAGACGGCCAGCAGCCGCGGUAAUUCCAGCUCCAAUAGCGUAUAUUAAAGUUGUUGAGGUUAAAAAGCUCGUAGUUGAACCUUGGCCCUGGCUGGCCGGUCCGCCUCACCGCGAGCACUGGUCCGGCCGGGGCUUUCCCUCUGGGGACCCUCAUGCCCUUCACUGGGUGUGCUGGAGAACCAGGACUUUUACUGUGAACAAAUCAGAUCGCUCAAAGAAGGCUCUCGCUCGAAUGCUUCAGCAUGGAAUAAUGAAAUAGGACGCGCGGUUCUAUUUUGUUGGUUUCUAGGACCGCCGUAAUGAUUAAUAGGGACAGUCGGGGGUAUCAGUAUUCAAUUGUCAGAGGUGAAAUUCUUGGAUCAAUUGAAGACUAACUACUGCGAAAGCAUUUACCAAGGAUGUUUUCAUUAAUCAGGAACGAAAGUUAGGGGAUCGAAGACGAUCAGAUACCGUCGUAGUCUUAACCAUAAACUAUGCCGAUUAGGGAUCGGACGAUGUUAUUUUUUGACUCGUUCGGCACCUUACGAUAAAUCAAAAUG